ACUUGGGGGGAGGGGGCCAGCUGGCGCACGCGUUGCCGCGCCAAUUUGCCACACCCGAGCGGAGCACCCCGUCGGAUCCGUACGUAAUACACGCGUCGUCCAUCGAGAGCGGUGCUGCAGAGGUGGCGUGCUGCCGCUGGGAUGCAUCAAUUUUUUUUAUUUACAUUUUGAGGCUUUUCUUUUCAUCGUCCGCUCUGUUCCAUUCGCCGCCGUCCUCCAUUCCGUUCUUCCUCAGCUCCCGUCGGUGGUGCUUGAAAGAGUCCGUUUUGGUGCUGGCCUUCUUCAGGUCGUCAAGUUCGCCUUGGCGCGCGGUGCUUCUCUUCUUCAUCGUCAGGUCGUCAAGUUCAUCUUUGUGGUACGUGUUUCUCUUCUUCAGGCCGUCAAGUGUGUCUUAGUGGAAGUUCAAGUUCGUCUUGGUGGUUCUCUGCUCUUUUCCGGUCAUCUUGGUGUCUCGUUCCGAGAGUUCUCGGUGGUCGUGUGUCGUGAAGCGUCAGGUCCCAUUGUUGGAACUUGGAAGCUCCUUGAAGAAGAACGUGUCCCGGUUUUGAGGUAGAAGAAACAAAAGCUAAGCCUGCAAAACAUGGCGGCGAGGGUGAGCUGGGAAAUGGCCGCCCGGCGUCGGCGUGUGGCGGAGGAUAUUGCUCCGCCCUACGCCGUGCUGUUGUUCGUCUUGCUGUUGGCGUGCUGCGUGCGGCGCCGCCGCCUCCUCCUCAUGCCGGAGGAUUUAUUCCGGAUCGGUAACCAAUUUACUGGUAUAAUAAAACAUCCGGAUUAGUUCCACAACUCUUAACUAGUGGAUUGAUUCUCGGUCUAUUAUUGUCCAUAUCAUGCGGUCCGGAAUAAAUCCCGAUCUCUCGUUGUAUCUAUAAUAAAUUUCUUACUAUUCUUGUCACUCCUAGCCAGGAUUGAAUCAUCAUGUAACCGAACAAGUCCUAAGGUGGUCGUCUCCUUUUUAGGCGGAGAGGGAUGACACAUAUCUGGUUUUGCCACAAAGUGCCUCAGUUUUGUAAGUUGAGGGAUGACACAUAUUUUUUCGGUUCUGGAUAAUUUUGUAAUUUGGAAACAAGAU